ACCAUGCUAAAAAUGCACUUUUUUUCCUUUAUAGGGGAUGCCACUAGUUUCCUGAAGUUAUUAAGGAUACCAAAUUAAAGACCUGAUGAGAACAUGCAAUUUUACUACUGCCUUAAGAACAGAGAAUUAGGAAGAGUUCAUCUUCUGGUGCCCUCACCUGCUAUCAGACAACUACAGCAGCCCAAACCGAGCGAGCUGCGCAGAUUUGUUGUGAGAGGAAGUGUCUGACUCUAGAGCUGCACAGAUGGAACGGUGCUGCUUUCACAGGGGAUGUGCUACUCAAAUUUCAAAGAACAGCAUGGAAAACAUCUUAUCUUGCUGGAGUCCUGCUGCCAGCUGAGGAGUGUGACUGGAGCUCUGAAAACUUCUGCAGUGGCACUGGGUGUGUGCUGGGGCAACAGCAGGGGAUUC